CAGCCGAUUCGUUCGCGCUUGGGAGUUGCCGCAGCCGCUCCCCUCAGAUAAUAACGCAAUGCCAUCCUCCUGUCCUGUCGGGAUGCUUAACUGGUGCAAGGGCAUCAAGGCUAAAAAAGAUAAAGCACGAGCACCCCACAAGCCAUCGCCAGGGUAUUACCACUUGGUGGGACAUACCAGGCAGACAUUCAUAGGAUGAAUUAGUGGGGGAGUAUGAAGCAGGCCUAGCAGUUUUCUUGGUGAGCUAAAUUUGAGAAUCUCUAUGAUCUUGAUUGCUGAUUCAAACUCCAGGCAACCGUAGAAGUAAUGUUCUUCUGUCAAAAUUUCAUUUCAUCCUGGUUCUUCAGUGCUCAAUUCAAGUUAUGCUCAGUCCGGGUUACCUGCAUGUUUUGGCAUUUUGGCGCAAAGUAGCUUAAUCUGUCUCCUCUCUUGGUCUCUCGGAAUUGGAUGGUGAAAUGCUACUGGAACAAUAUCGGUUGCUGCAUUCUUAAUAUCCCUUGAGUUUGGUUGGUCAUGUUUCAGUGACAACUGUUGAACUGCAAGUCUAUGCUGCAGUGACUUGUUGCAACUCUAAUUCCCUGCACUCCUUAGUGUUACAUGCUUAUAUAUCUCGUUGUUGCUGCGUGCUGA